GACGAACGCUGGCGGCGUGCCUAACACAUGCAAGUGGAGCGACGAACCAGGCUUCGGCCUGGGGCAAGGCCGCGAACGGGUGAGUAACACGUGGGUAACCUGCCCUGAUGAUUGGGACAACCCGAGGAAACUCGGGCUAAUACCGAAUGUGCCCUCCGGCCUCAAGGCCGCUGGGGAAAGGAAGCUUCGGCCUCCGCAUCGGGAUGGGCCCGCGGCCCAUUAGCUUGUUGGUGAGGUAACGGCNCACCAAGGCGACGAUGGGUAGCUGGUCUGAGAGGACGAUCAGCCACACUGGGACUGAGACACGGCCCAGACUCCUACGGGAGGCAGCAGUGGGGAAUCUUGCGCAAUGCGCGAAAGCGUGACGCAGCAACGCCGCGUGGGGAAGAAGG
rnacentral:rRNA from 1 species